rnacentral:rRNA from 1 species
UUCCCCGUGACACUGAGAGACGAAAGCUAGGGGAGUAGUCCUAGCCGUAAACGAUGGAUACUAGGCGCUGUGCGUAUCGACCCGUGCAGUGAUGUAGCUAACRYRUGAAGUAUCCCRCYUGGGUGGGCUGGGGAGUACGUUCRCAAGAAGGAAACUAAAAGGAAUGGACRGGGGCCURUUUUCUUUGGUUUCAUUCGAUGCAAAGCRAAGAACCUUACCACUC